rnacentral:rRNA from 1 species
GACGAACCGUGCGAACGUUGUUCGGAAUCACUGGGCUUAAAGGGCGCGUAGGCGGCUUGCCAAGUCGGGGGUGAAAUCCGGCAGCUUAACUGUCGAAGUGCCUUCGAUACUGGCAAGCUCGAGGGAGGUAGGGGUCUGUGGAACUUCUGGUGGAGCGGUGAAAUGCGUUGAUAUCUACAGGAACUCCGGUGGCGAAAGCGGCGUGCUGGACCUCUUCUGACGCUGAGGCACGAAAGCUAGGGGAGCAAACGGG